UACGAAGGGGGCGAGCGUUGUUCGGAAUUACUGGGCGUAAAGAGCUCGUAGGUGGUUUGUCGCGUUGUCCGUGAAAACUCACAACUCAAUUGUGGGCGUGCGGCGAUACGGGCAGACUGGAGUACUGCAGGGGAGACUGGAAUUCCUGGUGUAGCGGUGAAAUGCGCAGAUAUCAGGAGGAACACCGAUGGCGAAGGCAGUUCUCUGGGCCGUAACUGACGCUGAGGAGCGAAAGCGUGGGAGCGAACAGG
rnacentral:rRNA from 1 species